GCGCCAGCCAAGCCAAGCGCGCCCUCCCCCUCCCCGCCUUGGGCCCCAGGCGCCGGCGCGGGAGAAGCCCCGGGUAAGCCCCCGCCCGUCUCGUGGCCUCCUGCAUCGCAGAGUGAGACGAUCCGCGACGCCCCUCCAGCAAUACCCCAGGCCAGAAACAUCUCGCGCAGCCAGGUUCUCCCGGGCUCUGGAGGUUGAAGCAUUUGCUCCCUCGGCCCCAUAAACAGAUGCCACAAAGCCAUGGACCAUGCCACCCUGCUCCGGGUGACCUGAAUAUGUGGCCUGGCUCUGCCACCAGCUUCUGAGAAGCGUCCUCAGUCUCCCCAUCUGUGAGAUGGCCGGCAGGGACGAGCCUCUCCAGCAGGCCUUUCCGCCGGGAGAUUCUGCAAUUUCUGUCAUUUCCUGCCUCAGCCCUGACAGCAGCUCAGGGCCUCCUCUCUCAAACACAUUUCCCCAGACUCCUAGACCCUCCCUGCUUCUCCGGCCCCCCACUGCCUCUGGCUCCCCAGGCUCCCCGAUAAGGGGCCCAACUAAUUACAUUAGGAUUUCAUGCCAAUUAACAAACAAUUACACGGGCAAAUUGGUGCCUAAUUUGGAGCAAUAACAACAGCUCCAUUGGCCGAGGACAGAUAGCUGCAGACAAGACUGUUCACCCAGCCUGGCCCUAUCACAGACCCUGGAGUGUAGGAGCCAGCUUUUGACCCAGCCCUGGGCCCACAGCUGCAGUUCUUUUAGGAUCUGUAAGCAACCAUUUAUGUUGAUUACACAGUAGAAGAAAAACCCCAGAGGGUGGAAGUGGAGCAGAGGGAGCCAGGCUGGCUUCCUGGAGGAGGCAGGAGGACUCAGGGAGGCAGGGAGAGAAAGGAAGAUGGCGCCUGAGGGGUAGUAAUGCAUGGGAACAAAGGCUUGAGUGUGGCCAUGAGUCACAUGAGCUGAAAGCUGGUGGAGAAACCAGCAGGGCGAGGGCACAGGAUGGUAGGCGGUGCUGAGACUACAGAUGUUUGGAGGGACAGGUUGGGAAUGUCAUUCCCGGGAAUUUAACACUCUCCUGGAGGCCUUCGGAGCCACUGAAGGUUUGUAGAAAGAGGAGAGCACAGGGCUCAGACUCGUCUUAGAUUCCUGAUCUUGGAUUCCUCACAACCGCCAGUCCACCUUUAGUUUGCCACGAGGUCUCAUCUGCUCUCCCCUCUGAACGCAGCAGCUGUCAGUCCUGUCCCCAAACCAUUUCUUGUCCAUAAUUUUCCCAAGUGAUCACCCUAAGGCACAAAUGCACCCUUAUUCCUCCUCUGCUUAAAUCUUCUAUGGCUCCCCAGUGCCAUCAGAAUAGAGCUCCAGCUCCCAUCUCAGCAUCCCUGCCCUGUACCAUCUGGUGCCUGGGGACCUCCGAGCUUCCCCUCUCUCCCCACCUCCACCCCAGCCCUGUGCUCGGGGGACUGGACACCAUCUACAGGAUGUGCCAGGUUCCUUCACACCUCCAGGCCUGUGACUGUGCGGUUCCCUCGGCCCAGAUUCCUCUCCCAACACCCGUGCUUGUCACCAAGUGCAUCCUUCCAGGCCCCAGCCUGUAGACUCCGUUCUCUGGGGCGCUGGUUCCCACAGCAGAGCUUGUGCCUCCACCACUGUCUUCCGCAACCCCCACCCCAGACUCGGAGCUGCUCAGGGGCUGGGGUACUCCGCAUCUCCUUCACCCAGCACUGAAAGUGAAUGAACAGAGAAGACAAAAGGAUGAGAUAAACAGUGGGGGAAACUGAGGCAAGGACCCAGAGAAAGAUUCAUAAUCUGACAGCUUCAGUGUUGAUGAGAACUGAAAUCUGAACCACUCUGACUCUGUUGAUGGAAGGGUAAAUUAGAACCACUUUUCUGGAAAACCAUUGGGCGGUGCUGUCAAGAGCUUUAAAAACAUACAGACCCUCUGGUCCCAUUAAUCUACUUUUAGGAACUCAAUCCAAGAAAUAACCAAAGAUGCUAAAAAAGACCCAUGUACAAGGACGCUUAUUGCUGUUAUUUAUAACUGUGAAAAAUCACAAGCAACAUAAAUGUCUAGCAAUAGAGGGCUGGUUAAAUAAAUUAUAAUACAUCCAUAUAUAAGAAUGUUAUGCAAACAUUAAAAGUCAUGUUCUUGAGGAAUUUUUAAUAACCUGGGGAAAUACUCACUGUUUUAUAAGUAAAGCACAAUAGGAAACAAAACUGUCUAUCUAGGAUGAUCUUGGUUGUACAACGAAAACAAUGAAUCAAUUCAUGUAAAGGAAGUCUGGGAGGAAAUAAACAGUUA